CUUCAUCAUUUUACGAAAAUAAAUAAUUGGCUUAUGAAAAUUAUUCAUAGACUAAUGAAAUAUUACAUCGGCUUAUGAAAGAAUACAUCUGUUUAUGAAAAUAAAUAAGUGCUAACGAAAAAAAAACAUAGACUAACGAAAAAAUGCAAACAGAGCGCGCUGUACUUUCGUUUCUUGUGUGCAUUUCUCCGGUAGUCGGAGUCACAGUUUAAAUUCACAAGAGUCACUUUCAUUUAUCACGCGGAAAAAAUAAAAAAAAUGUGUGUACAAACAAAAAGAAAAACAAGAGGUGUUUUUAUAAGGAAACGCUCAAAAAGCUGAUCCUAACCAAGAGGAGUUAAAAUAUUUUUUUUUUAGCUAGAAUUCGGGCCAUUUACCUACUCGAGCAUUUUAUAGGUAAGAUAAAUUGUAAACUGACUCCUAAUAAUUUAUGAUUCUGUUUUAUCUUUUCAAAAAUAUUAAUAACUUCAACAACCGGAGACAAAAAAAUGUAGGGAAUCAAUUGGAAUUCCUGUCGAAAAAGACCACUUAUUGGACUUCAAAAACAGGACAUCUUUCCACACCUGUUUAAAGUGCAACCACGAGCGUCACCAUGAGCAAGCUAUCCAAGAAAAGUGGAUGAGAUAGAGGAAAUUCCAUAGAUGGCAUCCUAAUGUGCCUAAUGGAUGGGUUCUUAGUUCCGGCCCAAAAAAAAAAUGUUCCAAACAAUAACGGAUACGAUAAAGUUCACUAUAUUAUUCAAAAUUUUCAAUGUAUUUAGCUGAAUCUGAACGUGUAAGAGUGCGCACCAUGAUGAUGUAUAAGAGUGCCCGGGUUAUAAGAGCAGUAAAUGGAUCCAAUGCUAUCCAAGACUUCAAAAUAACUGGCAUUUGUCCAUAUACCAGCAAGAAACAGAUAGAAAAGGCAAUUCCUACCAAAAAUAAACCAAAUACAAGUUUGACAAUAAGCUAGGCAAUGGAAGUAACUAGGAAGUGCUGAAAUUUUCUCGAAACCAUUAGUCGAAGACUAAAUAGAAUGUUCCUCAUGCAAGGAGUGAUGGCUCGAAAAGGCAAUAUUUAUUAUGUAUGAGAGUAUGUAUAAGUAUGCGCAAAUGACCUAUUGUGUUUUUUUGUUUUUACAUAAUGAAUUAAUACUUUUUUGUUAUCAGUUUUCAGUUUUUUUGUUUACUUUGAUUAUAACCUAAAAAAUAAAUAAAAAAAAAGUAGUUGAAUUCUGUUUGUUAUUGUUUUAUUUGGUGUUUUGUCUAACGUGCGCACUCUCGUACCACCUUACCCUAUUUGAAAAAGUGUUUAGUUUAUGAUAUUA